rnacentral:tRNA from 1 species
GGUCGAUUAGCUCAGUUGGUUAGAGCGUGGUGCUAAUAUGAGUCUUCAUGUAUACGCCAAGGUCGCGGGUUCGACCCCCGUAUUGACCA